AGUCCCAGCGAGACUAUAUGGCAUAUGGCACACGCACGGCAACAAUCACUUAGUGACUUAAAAACUCAACUGCCUAUCUUGUAUACCCUUAGCCCUGAAACAUAAGUCAUUUUCACUUGCACGGGUCCUUAGCCAUAUCACACCAGCCCUAAUCCUCAGUGCCCACAUCACUCAUUUUGGUUUCUAUUCACUCGGGAUUACAUACAUACUCUCUUAAACUCCUUUUUCAACAUCACGAUAAAUAAGAUUAUAUGCAAUUCAAUUGACAGCAACAACACGUGAUCGAGACAUUUUCAGUUUCUAUGCUGAUGAGAAUUUAUGUAAUGGAUAUGAAGAAGUAUUGAAACGAUAUAGAGACUUGGUACCUCACGUACAACUUGCAGCUACAGAAGCUCCAGUUUCUGAUUGGAAAGUUUUGCAGUCAGGCACGCUAAUGAAGGGAAAACUUUUGAUGCAAUUGUAAAAGCGAGCAAGUAUCCUUUGUCAAUUAUUUUCGUUGGGGUUGGAGAUGGGCCUUGGGAAAGCAUGGGAGAAUUUCAUGAUAACAUCCCCUGCUCGUGACUUUGAUAAUUUCCAGG